GAUAAGAUUUCUGUUGAGAGAGAGAGAAAGUCAGAGGGAGAGGCAGAUUGAGAGAGAGAACUAGCUGUCGCUGCUGGGAAAAGAACAGGAAGGUCAAGAAGCUGAGGAGUCAGAAGUCGUGAGUCGGGAAAUGAGGAUGCUUCCAGAGGACCCCCCCUGGCUCUCCAAAAAGUAAGGGGUCUAAGACUCCCCAAGACCCUGAAUGACUACAUGCCUGUAUUUGUGGCACAAAAAGUUACAGGAUAUUUGCACAAAGUUACAGGAUAUGCACUGUAUAGAAAUGAAGCGGUGUGACAACCCCAAAACAUUUCCAGCAGUGUCGCUGAUUAUGUAGUCAAAAGGGCACCACCUACACAUGAGGGGAGCAUCAACAAAUGUGGGUAAAUCCCCAAGGUUUUCAGAAGUACAAAAAAAAAAAACCCUUUAGGGAAAAAAAUGCUCAGCAAAGGCAAAUGCUGGGGGAGCAGCAUUGGAUUGCCCUCUGAAAUCAGUUUAAUGGGAAAUGCCCUACCCAGCAUCCUGAAAUGUACACCUAAUUUAAGGAAUUGAGAAACUGAAUCAAAUCAGGCCAAAUGCUCAGAUGAAACUGCUUCUGUUUUCCUUACUAACUUUGUCUACUCUGACCAAAAAGGUUUCUCAUGUUGAUCUUUAUUGCAUUAAUUUUUAGUUUUUAAGAUUUCUUCAUGUGCGGUCCUCUAGUGUAGUCUGUGUUCCUGAUCUCUGACUGCAUUCAGAUCUCAUUUAUUUCUGAAGAAUUAUAGCAGAUUAGGCACUUGGAAUCAUCAGCUUGAGAGUAUGGCCUCUCCCUGUCCCCUCUACCUCCCAAGAUGUUACAGAAGGUUCUGAAAUGCAAUUCCUUCAGAUUGCAUGAAGGGCCAGGCAUGCCAAGAGCAGUGCAAGAGCACCAGCUCAUAUGCAGCUUCCAGCACAGCUGAUGACCACUGAAUUGUGUUACCCCACUGGUAUUGUGUCACUCCAGGUAGCUGCCUACACUGGUUGAGCUGGUAUAAUCAGCUGAAGAAAGAGGUAUCACUGCACCCUUCUCACUAGUUGCAAUUUAAAAAUAAUUUAAAGGCACACGAUAGCAUUUUACUUCAGAAGCUAAGCAAGACUGGCCCUGUAAACAAGUUGGAUGGGAGACUGCCUGAGCAUUGUUCUGAGCUCUUUGGACGAAAAGUGGAACAUUACUGUGAACAACAAUCAACAAUAUGGUAAAUCCUCAGGAAUACAACCAAAUAUUGGAGGAUGGCGAGAAAGGAGAGGGCAGCACCCAAAAGAACGAGAUGCAACAUCUCAAUACCAGUGUUGAGAUCUAUGAAACCAAGGAUCCGUUCAGUAAACAGUUCAGCCAAGUUCAGCCAGUUCAGAAAGUUUUUCUGGACUUUCUAAUGAGAUGCAUAUCAUAUUGAGCCCAUUCUUAAAUCUGUCCACAAAAUGAUUUGUAGGAAGGGUUAGUGCAAGUUAUUUCCUCCACAAAAGAGAUGAGUGCUGAUGCUUGCUUCCAAGAAAUGCUCGUGUUGUAAAAAUAUCAUAGGGGAAGCAGAACUUCUGAUUCACCAUACCACAGGUUCUGUGCCCGCUGCAAGCCUUGAAUGAAUGAAUGAAGUUGGCUCACACUUUUUUCUGCUUCAUUAUUUUUGGUUGAUAUAUAUUCUACCAGGAACUACUUAAAAACAAUUGCUGUGUGACUGCAUUAAGUGGCUGAUAUCUGACAGAAUAAUCAUCCCAGCAUGAUUGUCCCUACCUAGAGGAGCUUCUAAGCUGAAGUUGCAGGAAGAAGACUUGCUGUGAUGUGGGCUUGCCUCAUGGUAAGAGGUCACAGUCAACAACACACUAUGUUUCUGUGAUUACAGCAUGGCUUAGAAUGUCUUACCUAAAGACAUGCUACUUUUUGGAGUAAUAGAGGAUAGUUUGGAAGCCACCAAACUUAAAUUAGAGAAGUGUGCAUUAAACGAUGUCAGUUUUACUCCAAAUUUUUGAACCCUUGGGAACUUGUAUCUGCCUGCAAUGGGGGGGGGAGUCUUUAAAUAGUCUUGUGAUAUAGAAGCUUAGCAUCUGGUUAGCCUUGUUCACAUGUAUUAAAUGUUACCUCAGAGAA